AAUACUUCAAAUAAGCAGGAAGCAAUCUGCGACAUCAUAUAACAUACAUACAAAUGUGAUCAACAUCAAGUUUACAAUUAGAUAACACACAUGCAGCCCAAGUGUAUCAACCCAAGUGUGGCACCUGAGUCUAUCAUAGGAGCCCUACAAGUUCUGGUACAUCAUAUAACACACAUAAAAAUAGGAUCGACAUUAUUCCAAUGAACUAGCUCCUAGAACUAGCACACAUACAAGUUCUGCCACAAGGACUUCAUUACUCCCAAAACUAGCUCAAUGAGCUAAAACUAUGCAUCACCCAAUUUCUUUGUCCUGAUGCUUGCAAAGAAACAUGAAAGGCUAGCAUCUGCACAUUGCAGAACAAAAUGUUUAGGAACAAAAUAAAAGUAAAUCUAAUAGCAAAUUAUAAAAAAAAACAAAGUAUUAAAAACUGCAGUAAUAUAGUUGAUAGGUACACAAUACCAUGGUUUUAAUUUAACAAAGUUUUUUAGAGUAUUCAGCAUCAUAUAUAUAGCGGAGACUGCACGUGCAGAAUCAUAUGUUCUAUUCACGACUCACGGAUCCUAGACCUAGCAGAAGUAUAACACAAAUCUGACAACAGUUGAAAAAUAGUUCAACCUUGUUCAUGGCAUCACAGGGUCCAUAGUUUCCUAUGUUUCACCAAAAACAAAUAAGUAUUGAGCAUCAGAAGUAUUUUUAAUCAAUUUGUUAAGAAUGUGGGAGGGUUGUAGUGUGCUUAGCCUUACAACAAUAUCUACUACUGUUGUGCACUUGCUAAAUCAAAAUACAUAUUUACAAGUUAAGAGUAAGUAGUAUAAAUGUGCAUUUAUGUGUCGCUCAAAGUAGGAAAAUAUUGUUUGAAACAACAUUCGAACAUCAACACAAAGUAGUAACCUCUAUGUAAGUACUGUUAUAUAAGAACACUUUUCAUGAGGCCCAAAGAACUGCGAUCCUAGUUCACCCCAACAGCAAUCGAUUAACAUAAUUCUAGUCGCACCAUAACAUUUUUAAUGGCAAACUAUUAACGCACCACCGAAUUUAUAAUAAAGUAAAAGGACUAAAUCAUUCACUUGUCCACCACAGUGCAAACAAAUAGGCUUAAAAAGGAACGCGAUUUCCAAAAAUAAAUCAAGCAUGGCGAUCCCACGAUGCGGAUCUGGAGGGCAAAGGAUGAGGAACACUCGCAGCUUCUUGUCGUCAUCGAUCUCGACCUUCUUCUGGCACCCCGUGGUGGGGUUUGCGAUGUUCAACUAAAACCAACGCAAGAAGCAGACGAAUAGGCGUGGCACAGGAACAGAUCACAUCUGCGCGCGUUGGGAAGUGAAGAGCACCGUCUACCUUCAUGGUGGAGUCGCGGCGCGCCAUUAAGGUCGGACCUUGACGAACAGAUCCAUGGCGUUGGGUAAACGAAGCGGGGAAACAACGUGGAUCUGGCCGUCACCAUGGCCUGUCUGUUGGAUCCCCUCUCCUCGCUUCGGCGCCUCUCUUGUCCGGGUGAUGGGAGGGGAGGGGGCGUUCACCCGCUAGGGGGAGGGGAGGAAGGACUCUGAUGGCCGGAGAUGGGGUGGUCGGCGACGGCUGAUGGAGAAGGAGAGGGUUACGAAACAGAAGCAUGCUCGAAUCCUUGGAACCACGGACGAGAACAACACGAAAUCACCGCGAAUGGAUCUGAAGCCAUCGCCAACCGAGACCACAACCUACAACGCAUCGAUGCGGGGAAGGGGGCGGAUCGGAGGCUCACCUUGAAGGAAGGAGAAGGAGACGAGAAAAGGGGCAGCGACGGGCAGGUGGGAAUGGUAGGAAGAGGUUAGGCUGCGAGAUCGUCAAUAGUGGGGUGGGGGCGGCGACGGAUCGAGAUCUGGGAGUGAGGGAGGUAGAUGGGGAUCGAGGGGAGGGUCGGGCACUGUUGGGAGGAGGAAUGUGGGAGGUUAGAGUUUGGGUAUGUGUCUGUGGGU
rnacentral:lncRNA from 1 species